rnacentral:lncRNA from 1 species
AAAUUCUCCAAAACCUAGAGACAACACUUCAUUUCCCCUCUUCUUCAUCUUUAAACUAACCCGAGUCACCAAUAUUCCUAAACCACCUUUGGUUGGCGGCCACCACACUAAACCACCCCAAACCCUUCACCCCACAAUCUCCAUUUCCUCCUCAUCCUAUAUCCUCUGUUAAUCUUCUCCAAAGCACCUUAAAAUUGCCUGAUUUUAAAAUCUAAAAUGGCUAUUGACAAGCAAGACUUUCGCAAACCGGUCCUCUAGCUUUCUUUAAACUAAAACCUUUUACUCUUCAUGGAUUUCUGACUUGCGAGGUAUUUGCCAGACGAAGCAUCGAAAAAAUACUCGUUCGCCAAAAAUGCUAGGCAAAUUGAAGAAGUGGAUUCAAGAAGCUUCUUGUCUUAAUUUCUGGUUUGAUUUUUAGACGUCCUCUCCUCUUUUGGAAUGUUUGGUUCUAGUAGGUAAUCUUUUAUUUUACCUUUUCUAACUUUCUCUAUUUAUUUACAAUUCAACAAUUUAGUUCUAUUUUUUAGUUUUGCAUGUGUUCGAGUUGCUUUAGAUAUUGCCUUAAAAAAGCAUUUAAUUCUUUUUUAUUUGUUGCGUGGAUUUCCAAAUUCAUGGUUCAUUUUUUUAAAGAAAAAAGCAAUUGAUAGGUUGUGGACUCUAGACUGAGCUAGUCCAAUCCGGUGUAGGUUUAAAAGCUAACUACUGGAAGCCCACUGCAGAAAGUUAAUAAAAACAAACAAAAGGAAUUUGUAAUUAUCUGGAGUUUAGAGGGUAUUGAGGGAUUUUAACUUGACAAACCUUUUCAGUUACAACAAUAAUAAGCUUCUAGAGGAAAGAAAAGGGUUGUCUCUGUAAAAAGAAACAAAAAACGGCUCUAUUUUGGGGACCUAGGAGUCAAACACAAAAUUUUAAAGGGUAGGAAUGAAUUAGGAAAAUCAAGUAUUGUUGCCCUAAAUUCCUGCUAUAAAAGUCUCGUUCACUCAUUUGUUUAGAGAUCUUGGACAUAAAAGUCACGGUUGCUAGAAAUUAGGUUUUCUUUGAAAUAUAAAGUUCAAUAGUGGUUUAAAACAGUCAAAAUCAGAGAUAUAGUCAAAUAAAUAAAGAAAGAUUAAAAGCUGGUACUAAUCUAUUGGGAUUCUUGCAUAAUUUCUGGGUUAAAAAGCUGGUGUGAUUUGAGAAAAUUUUUUGGUUCCAUUGCUGCUUAUGCUAUGUUGUUUAAGCUUGGUUGAGCUCCAGAUUUUAUUAUUUUGACCUUUAUUUGGUCUUCUUUCUGCUAUUCUUCUUUUUUCUUCCUUGAGGUAUGUGACUGCACUUUUAUAUUUAUCUAUUGAAUAAAAUUUCUUGUUUAAUCCAUGUUUGAAUAUAUGUAUUUGUUUGUGAUAAGUAUUAGAUUUUGACUACAUGUGUUAGUUUUUCCAUAUUUGUUCCCAUAUGUCCUAAAUUAUUGUUUUUUAUUGUUUAUGCCAUAAUUUGGUUUGAUCCAGUAUGUUGUUCAUAAUUCUUUGUUUCUUAGUCUUCGAUGUUAUUCAUAGUGAUGUUGUCUUUGCUGAGUGAUAUAUAUUUGAGAGAUGAUAUUUUAGGUUGAAGCGAUACAAAGGACGUAAAUCUGACUACCAAUUGGUCAGAUUCACUCCUGAAAAGCAUGAGUGCAAUUAAUUUUGGCUACAAAAGGUUGAAGUGUGUUGGUUCUAGUGCUAGAAGUAGCAUCUAAUUCUAUGGUUGAUUAAGAAUAAAUCAAAGUUGAAGGUUGUAAUGGAUAAAGUCGUGUUUUGUUGAUGUAAUUGGAUAUAUUUUGUUUAAGCUAUGAUUGUAAUGACCCGACCGGUCAUUUUGAGUUUUUACACCUGGCUCGUCAAUUCUCAGGCAUGACUUGCCCGUAUGAUGUAUUAUGACUUGUGUAAAUUGUUGGUUUUGAUUUUCAGGAUAAUCGAAAUCAAUUUGGAAGAACAUGUCUCAGUUUGAAGCUUGAAAUUUGAAAAGUUUGACAAAGAUUUGACUUGUUAGUAUAUGAUAUCUAAUCGGAAAUUUUAUGAUGUGGUUAGCUCCGUUAGGUGAUUUGGACUUAGGAGCGUGAUCGGAAUGCAUUUUAGAAGUAUGUGGAAGAUUUAGGCUUGAAUUGGCAAAAUUGAGAUUUUGGCGUUUUUCGUUUGAUAGGCGAGAUUUUAAUACAGGGGUCGGAAUGGAAUUCCGGAAAUUACAGUAGCUCCGUUCUGUCAUUUGUGACGCAUGUGCAAAAUUUCUAGAUAAGUUGAGUUGAGAUCCCGUUAUUUUGGGUCAAUUUCAUGGGUUGCAUUUAGGUUGCUUAAUGGGUCAAAUAGACUAUAAAAAAUAAUGUAUUAACUUGGGUUCAACCAAAAUAGAUCACUAAAAAUUGCACGGAGUGACCUACUUGGUCGUCCCAUUUGACUAUAUCUUUUUUUAAAAAGUUUUAACCUGCACCCCACUUUUUAAAUAAAUUCAAAUAUCUUUCCCCCUUCUCCUCCUCCUUCUCAUUCUUCUUUGAGUGACAAUGGUUUUAUAUUGUGGUUGUAAAUAUAUUUAAUGUAGUUUAUGAUAUUUUACAGUGAUGAGCUGAUAUGACAUUUUAUUUUAUAUGAUUUCUUAGGUUUCUUCUUCUUUUUUUCUUAAUUGUAAAAUGGAUUCAUUAGAUUUAUUAUUCUUUUAAUAAAGUAACUAGUAUAUCAACUCGCGCGAUGCGUAAAAAAUAUUAAAUAAACAGAAAAGGGCCAAAAAUAUCCUUAAACUAUUGAAAUAGCUCAAAAAUAUCCUCCGUCUAUUUUUAGUGCCAAAAAUAUCCGUGCCGUUCAUGUUUUGGAUCACAAAUGCCCCUAAACCGUUAGUCUUGCCAUUGAAGCGGAAAUAGAAAAAGAAAGGAGAGUUGAACGAACUUGACCAAAUCGAUGCCAAAUAAUGAAAUUUUCCAUACCUGCUAAAUGCGACCUAGUUCCCACUGUUACUGUGAAGCAUGUUUUGUAGUUGACAACCACCAAUUGAGUCGUCUUUCUUUCGCAAUCUAUCACCGACAUUGUUUUUAAUCUUAUCAUCAUCUGUAGAAAUGUACUGCCAUUCAUAUAAAUGGAAAUUGUUGAAUAAUAUAUGGUUCUACGAUAUGGUCAUCAUUUGAUGACAUUAGAUACGUUUUAUACUUUGCAUAAGAAGAGAAGAGAAACUGAUCUUUGCAGCAGUUUUCACUGUGCUAUCCUUUUUGUGCGCUUGAUUUUUCGAUUUCAUGCGAUCAUGGGAUCAUUGGGGGUUUCUUUCUUUUAAUCUAAUUUAAUUUAAUCAAUUUUCCUUUUCAGAGAUAGAAAAAACGUGUCCUUUAUUUGUGACACAUAUAAGCAGUUAUUUUUUAAAAAUUUAUAAAUUCAGUUUGAAUUUGAAUUUUGAAAAAAAAAGGGUAUGUGUCUUUACAUAUUUUAAAAUACAAUUAAAACUACAAAAAAGUUGGAGAAUUAUCUAAAAAAAUUGAUAUGUGUCGAUUUAAUAUUAUGCCACUUGUCAUUCUAGUAAAACAAAUUGAGAGGAUUAAGGGGUUAGGGUUGGUGGAGUGCAAAAAAACAAAAAAAAAUUGAAAAUAAAAAAAAAUUAUAAAAUUAGGGCAACUAAGUAAAUUUCUAGAUAAGUUGGGUUGAGAUCCCUUUAUUUUGGGUGAAUUUCAUGGGUUGUAUUUAGGCUGCUUAAUGAGUCAGAAUGAACUAUAAAAAAUAAUACAUUAACUUGAGCUCAACCCAAAUUGAUCCGAUAAAAAUUGCACGAAACGCCCUAUUUGGUCGUCCCCAUUUGACCUAUACCUUUUUAAAAAAGUUUUAACAUGCACCCCACUUUUUAAAUAAAUUCAGAUAUCUUUCCCCUCCUCCUCAUCCUCCUCCUCCUCCUUCUUCUUCUCCUCUAAUUUCUCCUUCUUCUUCUUCUUCGAGUGACAAUGAUUUUAUAUGAUGGUUGUAAAUAUAUUUAAAGUAGUUUAUGAUGUUUUAAAGUGAUGAGUUGUUUUGACGUUUUAUUUUAUAUGAUUGCUUAGGUUUCUUCUUCUUUUUUCUUAAUUACGAAAUGUGUUUGAUGAUCGGUUUUAAUUACGUAUUUUAGUCGAUUAUUACACUCUAAUUUACUGCACUUUAGUUGAGUUAUCGCUUUAAUCGCUAGUGUUUUGCACUAACGGUAUAUUUUAUGCCUUGUAGGAGUGAUCCCAAGCUAUAUAGAUGAAUGAAUUCAAGUAAUUUGGAACUUUGAAGUCUGAGUAAAAGCUCAAGGAAUUAGGCCGAGACCGUGUUUGGG